UACAGAGGGUGCAAGCGUUAAUCGGAAUUACUGGGCGUAAAGCGUGCGUAGUCGGCUAUUUAAGUCGGGUGUGAAAUCCCCGGGCUCAACCUGGGAAUUGCAUUCGAUACUGGAUAGCUAGAGUUCGGCAGAGGGAAGUGGAAUUUCGGGUGUAGCGGUGAAAUGCGUAGAUAUCCGAAGGAACAUCAGUGGCGAAAGCGACUUCCUGGACCAGAACUGACGAUCAGGCACGAAAGCGUGGGGAGCAAACAGG
rnacentral:rRNA from 1 species